AGUAUUUCUAGAUCUACAACACCUUACUAGCAUGACUUCAAUAUUACCAUAACCACAACUCAAAACCCACAACACCUUACUAGCAUUACUUCAAUAUUACCAUAACGACAACUCAAAACUAAUUGAGAUGAAUCAAACUUCUCUAACUAUUCAAUGCACAUGAAGGUGGAAGUUUUCGUAUCCCUUUGGAUAACUACUUUCAAAGCAUAGAUAAACUACCAAGCCACGCACCGCUGUGCUCUAAAAGAUAUAAGUGAAGCACAUAGAGCAAAAGUAUCUAGCUCAAAAGAUAUAAGUGAAGCACAUGUGAGCUGAAUUGUCUACCCAAAGAUAUAAGUGAAGCUCGACAAAAUCACGGUGAGUGCAUGUCUCUCUCUCUAGGUGUGCAGCAAGGAUGAUUG
rnacentral:lncRNA from 1 species